CACGCAAAUUACUUCAUUUAAUACUGAAUUAUGUGGCAAAUAUUUUUCUGCCACCUAAAAUUGGCAAAUUUGAUCUCUGGUCCAAUAUAGCGUGGGAAAAGAUUGUUGACUCAUAAUUAUAUAUGCGAGGGUCAACUUUUGGCGCUGAAUCAAGAAAAAACUGUGAAAGGAAGUAACUUAGGCUAAAGUAAAGCUAUAUAUAGCAAAAGAGUGGACUGUUUGAACUGAGACCAACAUAAUUAUUGCAUCAGACGGAAAAACAACGUGUGGAGGUGACUGUGAUCAUGGUAACGAGAUAAACACCAGAGCAGUCAUUGAACAUGUCACAAUUAUAUCGCAGCUUUGUAAUUCAGUAACAGAAACUCAUUCGGGUCUAUAUGAAUUGGCAAUUUUGAAUGAAUGACACAAGGUUGUUCAGUUUGUAAGGAUAUGAAACCACCUGAAGAAUUGAAUGAGAUGAGUAUCAAAAACACUUUCACAAUACUUAUGAAUUUAGAUUGGGGAAGUAAAGUUUGAACCGCGCGAGUGGAAUUGUGGAAUGGAAUUCAUCCCAGUGCAGUUGUUAAACAUUGUCUAAACUCUAUCCACAUGCAGCAUUUAUUCCUGAUUCAACAAGCAUGCACGUGCAUUAUAAC